CCGAGUUAGGGUUCCCUCUUCGGGGCCCGACCUCCCAACCCUGUGUCUAUCAUACCUUGUCGUUGCUUCGGCGGACCGGUUGACCAACUGGUCUCAACCGCCGGGGUGGCCCAGCCGCCCUGGAGAGCGUCCGCCGACGGCCUACCACAACACUCUUGUACUUAAACCUGUCGUCUGAAUUUUGAUUGAUAAAUAUAAACCA
rnacentral:misc_RNA from 1 species